rnacentral:lncRNA from 1 species
UUAGAGAACUCCAGACAUUGGCAUAGUAUAUAUAUAUAUUUUUAAUGGGCUCUAUUAGUCUCCCAGAGAGGGAGUAAAUAGGGGGUAUGGUUGGGAUGAUCUUGAGAUUAUGUUCAUACUAAUCCCCUCUCUGGUUGGCUCUGGUCAGGGGUGUACAUCUGCCCUAAUUCUUUUUCCCUUUGGAAGCCCCUGAGGUUCAGCAUAGUGUUGGCAUAGGAAGGAGUUCAAGGUCAGAAUUUCUUCCCCGUUUGGAAGUCUUUAAGGUUCAGCAAGGUGUUGGCAUGGAGAAGAGCUCAAGGUCACAAUUCUUUGCCUCUUCGGAAGCCCUUGUGGUUCAGCAUGGUGUUGGCAUGGGGAAGAGUUCAAGGUCACAAUUCUUUUCUCCUUUGGAAGCUCUUAAGGUUCCGCAUGGUGUUGGCAUAAGGGAAAGGUCAAGGUCGGGAUUCUUUUUCCCCUUUGGAAGCUCCUAUUAAGGUUCAGCGUGAUGUUGGCAUGGGGAAGAGUUCAAGGUCAGAAUUCUUUUCUCCUUUGGAAGCUCUUAUUAAAGUUCAGUGUGGUGUUGUCAUGGGGAAGAGUUCAAAGUCAGAAUUUUUUUCUCCUUUGGAAGCUCUUAAAGUUCAACAUGGUGUCUGCAUGGGGAAGAGUUCAAGGUCAGAAUUCUUUUCUCCUUUGGAAGCUCCUAAGUUUCAACGUGGUGUUUGCAUGGGGAAGAGUCCAAGGUCAGAAUUCUUUGCCUCUUGUGGUUCAACAUGGUGAAGAGUUCAAAGUUAGAAUUCUUUUCUCCUUUGGAAGCUCUUAUUAAGGUUCAGCAUGGUGUUGUCAUGGAGAAGAGUUCAAAGUCAGAAUUUUUUUCUCCUUUGGAAGUCCUUGUGGUUCAGCAUGGUGUUUGCAUAAGGAAAAGGUCAAGGUCGGGAUUCUUUCUCCCCUUUGGAAGCUCUUAUUAAGGUUCAGCAUGGUGUUGGCAUGGGGAAGAGCUCAAGGUCACAGUUCUUUGUCUCUUUGGAAGCCCUUAUGGUUCAGCAUGGUGUUGGCAUGGGGAAGAGUUCAAGGUCAGAAUUCUUUUCUCCUUUGGAAGCUCUUAAGGUUCAGCGUGGUGUUGGCAUGGGGAAGAGUUCAAGGUCAGAAUUUUUUUCUCCUUUGGAAGCUCUUAAGGUUCGGCAUGGUGUUGGCAUGGGGAAGAGUUCAAGGUCAGAAUUCUUUUCUCCUUUGGAAGCCCUUAAGGUUCAGCCUGGUGUUGUCGUGGGGAAGAGUUCAAAGUCAGAAUUCUUUUCUCCUUUGGAAGCCUUUGUGGUUCAGCAUGGUGUUUGCAUGGGGAAGAGUUCAAGGUACUGGAAACUGGAGAACUUCCAUCAGCAGAGGACAACAAUUUACAGUUGCUCACCAUUUUAGAAGUCACCUCUAAGAACUUGGUGACUGCCAACAAGUACCUGCUGUUCCUUAGCAGACUGAAAGUCGAGCUUCGCUUUGUGGCUGCCAAUGGGAGGGACAGAAAAAAAGACAGACAAAAGGAGGGACUGAGAAACAAAGCAUGCUUUCUCCCCUCCAAAUAGAGGUUUUCUUCCCUGUUUGGCAAGGAAUUGGGAGGUAAAGUGGCUGAGGCUGUGAUGACUGACAUAGCCCUUGAUACAUGUUUGUCAUUGCUGUUAUUCAUUCAUAACUUUGGAAUCAUUCCAACUACUGACUCCAGAAAGUUGGCUGGAAUGUUU